rnacentral:rRNA from 1 species
UACGCUGGCGGCAGGCCUAACACAUGCAAGUCGAACGGUAGCACAGAGAGCUUGCUCUUGGGUGACGAGUGGCGGACGGGUGAGUAAUGUCUGGGAAACUGCCCGAUGGAGGGGGAUAACUACUGGAAACGGUAGCUAAUACCGCAUAACGUCGCAAGACCAAAGUGGGGGACCUUCGGGCCUCACACCAUCGGAUGUGCCCAGAUGGGAUUAGCUAGUUGGUGAGGUAAUGGCUCACCAAGGCGACGAUCCCUAGCUGGUCUGAGAGGAUGACCAGCCACACUGGAACUGAGACACGGUCCAGACUCCUACGGGAGGCAGCAGUGGGGAAUAUUGCACAAUGGGCGCAAGCCUGAUGCAGCCAUGCCGCGUGUAUGAAGAAGGCCUUCGGGUUGUAAAGUACUUUCAGCGAGGAGGAAGGCGUUGUGGUUAAUAACCGCAGCGAUUGACGUUACUCGCAGAAGAAGCACCGGCUAACUCCGUGCCAGCAGCCGCGGUAAUACGGAGGUGCAAGCGUUAAUCGGAAUUACUGGGCGUAAAGCGCACGCAGGCGGUCUGUCAAGUCGGAUGUGAAAUCCCCGGGCUCAACCUGGGAACUGCAUUCGAAACUGGCAGGCUAGAGUCUUGUAGAGGGGGGUAGAAUUCCAGGUGUAGCGGUGAAAUGCGUAGAGAUCUGGAGGAAUACCGGUGGCGAAGGCGGCCCCCUGGACAAAGACUGACGCUCAGGUGCGAAAGCGUGGGGAGCAAACAGGAUUAGAUACCCUGGUAGUCCACGCCGUAAACGAUGUCUAUUUGGAGGUUGUUCCCUUGAGGAGUGGCUUCCGGAGCUAACGCGUUAAAUAGACCGCCUGGGGAGUACGGCCGCAAGGUUAAAACUCAAAUGAAUUGACGGGGGCCCGCACAAGCGGUGGAGCAUGUGGUUUAAUUCGAUGCAACGCGAAGAACCUUACCUACUCUUGACAUCCAGAGAACUUAGCAGAGAUGCUUUGGUGCCUUCGGGAACUCUGAGACAGGUGCUGCAUGGCUGUCGUCAGCUCGUGUUGUGAAAUGUUGGGUUAAGUCCCGCAACGAGCGCAACCCUUAUCCUUUGUUGCCAGCGGUUCGGCCGGGAACUCAAAGGAGACUGCCAGUGAUAAACUGGAGGAAGGUGGGGAUGACGUCAAGUCAUCAUGGCCCUUACGAGUAGGGCUACACACGUGCUACAAUGGCAUAUACAAAGAGAAGCGACCUCGCGAGAGCAAGCGGACCUCAUAAAGUAUGUCGUAGUCCGGAUUGGAGUCUGCAACUCGACUCCAUGAAGUCGGAAUCGCUAGUAAUCGUAGAUCAGAAUGCUACGGUGAAUACGUUCCCGGGCCUUGUACACACCGCCCGUCACACCAUGGGAGUGGGUUGCAAAAGAAGUAGGUAGCUUAACCUUCGGGAGGGCGCUU